rnacentral:rRNA from 1 species
GACUGUGGUCAAAUUGCCCGGAAUGCGCUCGAUCUCGUCAGAUCUCCCAAGCUAAGCAGGUUGGAGUCUGACAUAAGUUCUUGGAUGGGCGACCACCGUGCAUAGAUUAGGGUGUUAUAGGCU